CCCUCCCCUUCGCCGGUGGCCACCAUUUAAUCUCCUCCCCUUCGACGUCAGUAAGCAGAGAUAGGUAAGGGGAGAGGGGGGGAAGAAAGAGAUAGUGAAAAAUGGAGACAGUUUUAGACUUCUAGAGACGUCGUUUGCUUCCUUAACGACACGACGAGUUGCAGGUUGCUCUCAUACCCCCUGCGACGACUACCUGUCGUGUGCUCGUGACUGUGCCUACUCUUUCCUUCGCUGGGACUUUUAUUUUGUCUGUUGAUUUUACGUCUUCCGUUUCUCGCUACAGAACCUCUAGGUCGCAAUCUUCUCUUUCCUAUAGUACUUCUUUAGUGACUGUGUCUUCGUACUCUCCCAAGCGAAAAACUUCUUCAACGAUGUUACACGUUCGAGAGUACUGCUAGUUCUUGAUGGAGUUCCUAGGGGUACCGCACGAGUUCUUGACCCUGGUCCUGAGCCACCUAGGAACGUCGACCUGGUACCAGUGGACGAGGGUCCUUUUGGAGCAGUGGCCGGACCUUCGGGGUUCGGUCUUGGAGAGACCGGACGAGAGGGGCUCGUAUCCGUUAGACUGGUUAGAGCUCUAUCAGGACGACGUCUUGUUGUUGUAGUUACCGGCUUAGGGCCGUCUCUAACCGUCCGAGUGCUUCGAAUCCUGCGAACUAGAGAGGUCGUUGGUGAAGAGGCCGCUUUAGGGGCCGAGGCACUCGGCGGAGUCCCUGGAGGUCAUGAACUCCGAGUUGUUGUUGUGGAACAGGCCGCGUAAGGGAAGCAGCAGCCGAUUAGACAGCGUGGAACAAAAGAACCUAGACAGGAUGUUAUUAGACUCGCCAGGUCAAGGUCCCAGAAACCGUUCCUGUAAGUUGUAUCAUCCCUUAGGUGACUAGACGCCUCGUCGAUGUCUUGUUCUAACAAUACCUUGAAACGGGUACGGCUACAGGAUGUCGGACUUAUUGUGUGUUCCAUGGUAUGACGGUCGUUUUAGAUUCUCGGUGUUUCGGCGUUAACGUAAACCAAGAUGCUAUCCGACGUAGUCGUAGGAAAAGGAUCAAUGCCCUAACGACAAGACCACCUCCGUAUCCUUUUUAGCCGUCUAAGAAAAGCUACAGCUACUGGUCGUGUAGCUCUUGCAUUUGGAACUUUUGGACUUCUCCAAAGUCAAGUCUCUCGAGGUCCGACGUUGUCUCUUGAAGUCGUUGUUCUUGUACUAUCCUUUUCCGCCAAAACCUUUACAAAUGGCUCCCUUCGAGGGUCUACCUUGAUAUCAUCGUCAGUUCUCCGACUUUCUACCUUUACGGCGUCCGCCCCUUAACGUUAAAGUCUGACUUCAGCUCUACUAGUCGAACCGUCACGUGGCCUUAGAGGAAUCCGAGACGCCCAAGACGUACUGACGUUGGCUCUCCGAUGACUAGAUAGGUAUGUACAGGUUACCUUCACAACGUAGUGCGGACUUUCCCUUCGGUGGUGACUUGACCUAGUGGUCUUUCCCUUAUCGGGAGCCACGUCGUUCUCCGGAUGAUAUGGACGUGCUCGUCACACUAGGGUUCUAGUAGGUGUCCCUACAUUUCCGUCGUUUACAUGACGAGCUACUGAAGACACUUCGUUAACAACCUCUAAAACCCGAACGGUUCGAGGACCUAGUGGCACUGAGCGUACAGUGGUGUCGACACUCCCCUUGACAUCCGGUGUAACGGGGUCUCAUGGAGAGGUGCCCGGUCAGUAGACUCUUUUGACUACAGAAGCCGAAGCCCUAGGACGACGAUCUUGACUAGUGGCCCGUCUGACGUGAACUCAAACCUUUCAGUAGUUUAGUCUUCCCUCGGUACGAACUGACCCACUUCUUCUACGUGGUCCUCUUCUUCGAGCUGCACGAACAGCUGUUCCCUGAGCCUUCGUCAAUGCUGGUGUAACUCGAUCUCCUCUACCACGUCCACCGCGACGACACGUGGGUCAUAGAGGGGCCAGUGUCCGGUUUCUACAGCCUCCACCAGUCCUACGAGCUUCCACUGCCCGAGCGUCUCGCCACCCUCCGCAGCGUCGCAUGACUGAGCGUGUUCAAGUUCCACGGACUGAAGUGGAAGCCCGCAACGAUGAGGCUGGACUGUCUGCUGAGCAGCAACGACCACGUUCGUCAACUCGAGAGACCUGGCUCUACUAUUGUGCUGUCUCUCAACUUCUUCCUUUGUAGUAGUCAACAAAGGUCGUCCUGGACAUGUCGUUUUGGACGAAUUUUACCGUUUGUUGUAUUACAUCGGUUGUAGAUUACUACGUAAGACAGUCCUUCACAUCGUGUAGAGUCUACUUGACAUGUUUCUUCUUCCCGUGUUGGAUCAAUAGAUCCGUACCAUAUAAAAUGUAAUUGUCUAAGACAUUUGACAACCAUGUUAUUUCUACUGUCUCGUUAUAAAAAACUCUACGUUCAAAACCAGGAAAAAGGGGGAAAACAUUUUAACAACGGUAACCUAACGUUGUUGGACCGUCACAGUACAACAGAAGUUGACUAUCUCCAGGUUUGAGAUCAUAUGAAUAAAGGAAACAUGAGGGAGGCAAGGAUUUAUAAACAGAAAAAUCUCUAAAGUUUACCUGAUGGUGUAUGCCUACAUAUAUCUGAACAACUUUAGAGAUCUUUCUGUUUAUAAAUCCUUGCCUCCCUCAUUGAAUAUUAGAU
rnacentral:rRNA from 1 species